UACGGGAGGCAGCAGUGGGGAAUAUUGCACAAUGGGCGCAAGCCUGAUGCAGCCGAUGCCGCGUGUAUGAAGAAGGCCUUCGGGUUGUAAAGUACUUUCAGUCGUGAGGAAGGUGUUAAGGUUAAUAACCUUAGCAAUUGACGUUAGCGACAGAAGAAGCACCGGCUAACUCCGUGCCAGCAGCCGCGGUAAUACGGAGGGUGCGAGCGUUAAUCGGAAUUACUGGGCGUAAAGGGCACGCAGGCGGUUAAUUAAGUUGGAUGUGAAAUCCCCGGGCUUAACCUGGGAAUGGCAUUCAAGACUGGUUAGCUAGAGUCUUGUAGAGGGGGUAGAAUUCCAUGUGUAGCGGUGAAAUGCGUAGAGAUGUGGAGGAAUACCGGUGGCGAAGGCGGCCCCUGGACAAAGGACUGACGCUCGAUGUGCGAAAGCGUGGGGAGCAAACGAGGAUUAGAUA
rnacentral:rRNA from 1 species